ACAAACUUGGUCAUUUAGAGGAAGUAAAAGUCGUAACAAGGUUUCCGUAGGUGAACCUGCGGAAGGAUCAUUAAAGCGUUCUGCCGGGGCCGCCCCCCCGCCCCCUCCGGGGGGCCGAGGGGCGUGCCCUCGGCUUGGACCCCACCCGUGUUUACCCUGACCGUCUGUUGCCUUGGUGGGCCUGCCGCGGCGCGAGAGCCCGCGGCGGCUGGGGGGAGACCCCGGGCUAGCGCCCGCCAGUGGCCGACCUGAACCCUGAACCUUAUGAACGUACCGUCUGAGUCCCAGUUAAGAAAUAAGCAAAACUUUCAACAACGGAUCUCUUGGUUCCGGCAUCGAUGAAGAACGCAGC
rnacentral:misc_RNA from 1 species